rnacentral:rRNA from 1 species
GACGAACGCUGGCGGCGUGCUUAACACAUGCAAGUCGAACGAUGAACCCGGAGCUUGCUCCGGUGGAUUAGUGGCGAACGGGUGAGUAACACGUGAGUAACCUGCCCUUGACUCUGGAAUAACUGCGGGAAACUGUAGCUAAUACCGGAUACGACCCUCGGCGGCAUCGCCAGGGGGGUGAAAGAAUUUCGGUCAAGGAUGGACUCGCGGCCUAUCAGCUAGUUGGUGAGGUAACGGCUCACCAAGGCGACGACGGGUAGCCGGCCUGAGAGGGUGACCGGACACACUGGGACUGAGACACGGCCCAGACUCCUACGGGAGGCAGCAGUGUGGAAUAUUGCACAAUGGGCGCAAGCCUGAUGCAGCAACGCCGCGUGAGGGAUGACGGCCUUCGGGUUGUAAACCUCUUUUGGUAGGGAAGAAGCGAAAGUGACGGUACCUGCAGAAAAAGCACCGGCUAACUAAGUGCCAGCCGCCGCAGUAA